GGCGGAGUGGUUAACGCGCUGCCCUGCUACUACUGCAGCCACAGGCAGUGCCUUCGGGCGCGUGAGUUCGAAUCUCAC
rnacentral:tRNA from 1 species